GGCUGUGUAGCUCAGUUGGUCAGAGCGUGACACUGUUAGGACUUCGGCUCGAACCGCUGAAAGUUCGUUCAUGUCAAGGUCGACGGUUCGAGCCCGUCCAUGGUCG
rnacentral:tRNA from 2 species